CCUACGGGAGGCAGCAGGCGCGAAACCUCUGCAAUGCGGGAAACCGUGACAGGGGGAUCCCAAGUGCUCAUGCAUUGCAUGGGCUGUUCUUUGGUCUAAGUAACCAGAGGAGUAAGGGCUGGGCAAGACCGGUGCCAGCCGCCGCGGUAAUACCGGCAGCUCAAGUGGUAGCCGCGAUUAUUGGGCCUAAAGCGUUCGUAGCCGGAUAAGUAAGUCUUUGGUUAAAUCCUGCAACUCAACUGUGGGAAAUCUAGGGAUACUGCUUGUCUUGAGACCGGGAGAGGUUAGAGGUACUCCUAGGGUAGGGGUGAAAUCCUGUAAUCCUAGGGGGACCACCUGUGGCGAAGGCGUCUAACUGGAACGGGUCUGACGGUGAGGGACGAAACCUAGGGGAGCGAGCCGGAUUAGAUACCCCCGUAGUCC
rnacentral:rRNA from 1 species